GUGACUUUCAUGAACAGAAAUAGUCUCCAUAAUCUAAUCUCCAGAAUGCACUAAACCAGGAGAAGAUCCACCUGGAUAAUUUCGUUGUCAAAGGAAUGGAAGAAUAUUAAGGAGAACAAGUCCUCAUCUCUCCAAAGACCCUUCAUCCUUCAUUUCACAAUAGUCUUUAUUGGUCUGCUGGAGUUUGCUGGAGGUCCACUCCAGACCCUGUUUGCCUGGGUAUCACCGGCAGAGGCUGCAGAGCAGCAAAGAUUGCUGCCUGCUCCUUCCUCUGGAAGCUUCAUCCCAAAGGGGCACCCGCCUGAUGCCAGCCAGAGCUCUCCUGUACGAGAGAUGCCCUGCCCAGUGAGGAGGAAUCUAGAGAAGCAGUCUGGCCAUAGCUUUGCUGCACUGCGAUGUUACCUUUUUGACAUAACCAAGUAAACCAACAGGCUUGAAGACACACCGAUCAUAAAAAUGAAUCUAAGAACCCAGGUGUAAUCUUCUGAUUUCUAGGUCCCAGCGCUUCUCAUUUUUAAGCAGAGUUUCAUAGAAAUACUCUAUUCAAACAAACAAACAAAAAAAACAGAAAAGCCACAGACCUCUGUAACAUUUAAGCAGAGGUGUCCUCUUAGUAAAAUGUAAAAUACAUGUGUGAAAUCUGUUUCCAACAAGC
rnacentral:lncRNA from 10 species